GGUGGGUUGGCCGAGUGGUUAAAGCAGUGGACGUAAGAUCCACUGGGAACAAUCCCCGCAGUGUUUGAACCUCACAUCCACCA